AGCAGGCUGAUGGUAAACAGGUCUUUCGUCAAAGCUCAAGAUGUUACAAGGUACAAAGCAAGUGGCCAAGAAUGCAGUGGGAGGACUGUACUUCUCCUCAUCCCUGCAUCUGUGAGAUGGCAGCUUUCAAGCAUCCAGAUAGGGACCACUUUUCGCCCUGAGUUGGGUACUCUUGCCAACAAGAGCCUGUACCCCUCACCCCUAACUGCAGUCUGCAGGCCCUAAGAUCAUCUCCCUCCAGCGUCCCGUCACUCUGC